GAAUAGUUACCACCUUCCGACCUUAGGUGAUAAACGUUAAAACUACUUGUUUUGGCUCUCUUAUUCUCUCUUUCUUUCUCCUUAAACUUCUCUUCCUCAAUCUACUGAGUAUGAACCAUAAGUCUAGAUAAGUCCAAUUCCUUAACUAACAUUGUGGUCCUACAUUCCUUAACCAUACUAUCCGCUACACCAGACAUAAACUAACUCAUUCUAGACCUAUUAUCUGCAACCAUAUUAGGAGCAUACUUUACCAACUAAGUAAACUUAAGGAUUACUCCUUCACA
rnacentral:lncRNA from 1 species